UCGAGUUUGUGGGGUUUGAUGCUGGUCUUAAGACAUGUGCUCAUCCCGCUAAUCCACUCAACACCUGUGCACCUUCGGAGGUGUUACCCUCCGGUCUUUAACCACCGGAGCCGUUUGCUUUCGUUUUAACGAAGGCCGGACUGGGGUUGCACCUCUAUUAAAAACAUAAACCAUUUCAAAAAGUACAGUAGAAUGUCAUUCAUGCCGUCAUAGGCAAAUAAAGUUAAUAA
rnacentral:misc_RNA from 1 species